GUGAAUCAUCGAAUCUUUGAACGCAAAUUGCACUCUCUUCGGAGAGUAUGCCUGUUUGAGGGUCAGUAUUAAUAAAAAUCGGCGUGUUGCUUUUUUGUGACGUUCCGGAGUUUGGGUCAUCUUAUAAUAACACCCUUUCAGGGUAUUUUUAAGAGGCCUUUUAUUGACCUUUUUUGUGCUUCUUAGAUGUACAUAUAUUUUUUUUAUUCGUCUUUCUUAAUGCCAUAUUACUUUUAGAUGUGACCAUAU
rnacentral:misc_RNA from 1 species